AAGUCGUAACAAGGUUUCCGUAGGUGAACCUGCGGAAGGAUCAUUAACACGUAUCCACGUAUAAACCAAAACUAAGAACUGUUCUACCCGUUACAAGCCUAACCGCUUUGUGUUGUUCUCGGAUUAUAAUGGGUCCCCGAUCCUCUUGGUGUAAUGCUUUGGGUUGGUCGGUGUGGCAUAUUCGGUUCAACUAUCAGUCCUUUUGAGAUUGUGCAAAGUACCUGGCAUUGUCGGGCUCAUGAUUUCAUUCACUUUCUCAACCAUUUUGAGGGAGGGUUUGAUCCCCAUACCAAUUUCACCCGUUUUUACCGAUUUGGCAAUUUCUAUAUUCAUCGAGAGAAAUCUCGUUUGAAUCUACUAAGAUUUUAUCUUAACUAAGCACAACUCUUAGCAAUGGAUAUCUUGGUUCUC
rnacentral:misc_RNA from 1 species